rnacentral:rRNA from 1 species
UUAAGUGACGAAGCGUAUACGGUGGAUGCCUUGGCAGUUAGAGGCGAUGAAGGACGUGUAAGUCUGCGAAAAGCUGUGGUGAGCCGACAAAAUGCAUUUGAGCCACAGAUGUCCGAAUGGGGAAACCCACCUGUUUACAGGUAUCGUUACAUGAAUACAUAGUGUAACGAGGCGAACGAGGGGAACUGAAACAUCUAAGUACCCUUAGGAAAAGAAAUCAAACGAGAUUCCCCUAGUAGCGGCGAGCGAACGGGGAACAGCCCUUAAGCUGUUUAGUGUGUAGUGGAAUCCUUUGGGAAGAGGAGCGAUACAGGGUGAUAGCCCCGUACACAAAGCGUGCUUUACAGUGAAAUCGAGUAGGUCGGGACACGUGUUAUCUUGACUGAAUAUGGGGGGACCAUCCUCCAAGGCUAAAUACUCCUAACUGACCGAUAGUGAACCAGUACCGUGAGGGAAAGGCGAAAAGAACCCCUGUGAGGGGAGUGAAAUAGAACCUGAAACCGUAUACGUACAAGCAGUGGGAGCCCUUCGGGGUGACUGCGUACCUUUUGUAUAAUGGGUCAGCGACUUAUAUUUAGUAGCAAGGUUAAGCGAAUAGCGGAGCCGUAGCGAAAGCGAGUGUUAACUGCGCGUUGAGUUGCUAGGUAUAGACCCGAAACCCGGUGAUCUAGCCAUGAGCAGGUUGAAGGUUGAGUAACAUCAACUGGAGGACCGAACCCACUGACGUUGAAAAGUCAGGGGAUGACUUGUGGCUGGGGGUGAAAGGCCAAUCAAACCGGGAGAUAGCUGGUUCUCCCCGAAAUCUAUUUAGGUAGAGCCUCGGACGAAUUCCAUUGGGGGUAGAGCACUGUUAAGGCUAGGGGGUCAUCCCGACUUACCAACCCUUUGCAAACUCCGAAUACCAAUGAGAACUAUCCGGGAGACACACGGCGGGUGCUAACGUCCGUCGUGGAGAGGGAAACAACCCAGACCGCCAGCUAAGGUCCCAAAAUAUUGCUAAGUGGGAAACGAUGUGGGAAGGCACAGACAGCUAGGAGGUUGGCUUAGAAGCAGCCACCCUUUAAAGAAAGCGUAAUAGCUCACUAGUCGAGUCGGCCUGCGCGGAAGAUGUAACGGGGCUAAGCAAUAUACCGAAGCUGCGGCAGCACAGUUUACUGUGCUGGGUAGGGGAGCGUUGUGUAAGUGGAUGAAGGUGAGUUGUAAAGCUUGCUGGACAUAUCACAAGUGCGAAUGCUGACAUGAGUAACGAUAAUGGGAGUGAAAAACUCCCACGCCGGAAGACCAAGGUUUCCUGUCCCAUGCUAAUCAGGGCAGGGUAAGUCGGCCCCUAAGGCGAGGCAGAAAUGCGUAGUCGAUGGGAAACGGAUUAAUAUUUCCGUACUUAUAUAAUCAGUGAUGGAGGGACGGAGAAGGCUAAGCAAGCUUGGCGUUGGUUGUCCAAGUGAAAGCAAGUAGGCCGAGUGUUUAGGUAAAUCCGGACACUUAAAGCUGAGAUGCGAGACGAGCUACUACGGUGGUGAAGUUGUUGAUGCCCUGCUUCCAGGAAAAGCUUCUAAACUUAUGAUUAUAUGAACCGUACCCCAAACCGACACAGGUGGUCAGGUAGAGAAUACUAAGGCGCUUGAGAGAACUCGGGUGAAGGAACUCGGCAAAAUUGUACCGUAACUUCGGGAGAAGGUACGCCUCUGUGUGUGAAGACUUCGCGUCGUAAGCACAUGGAGGCCGCAGUGACCAGGUGGCUGGGACUGUUUAUUAAAAACACAGCACUCUGCAAACUCGUAAGAGGACGUAUAGGGUGUGACACCUGCCCGGUGCCGGAAGGUUAAUUGAUGGGGUUAGUCUUCGGACGAAGCUCUUGAUCGAAGCCCCGGUAAACGGCGGCCGUAACAAUAACGGUCCUAAGGUAGCGAAAUUCCUUGUCGGGUAAGUUCCGACCUGCACGAAUGGUGUAACCAUGGCCACGCUGUCUCCACCCGAGACUCAGUGAAAUUGAAAUCGCAGUGAAGAUGCUGUGUACCCGCACCUAGACGGAAAGACCCCGUGAACCUUUACUACAGCUUGGCACUGAACAUUGAACCUACAUGUGUAGGAUAGGUGGGAGGCUUCGAAGCACAGUCGCUAGAUUGUGUGGAGCCGUCCUUGAAAUACC